rnacentral:rRNA from 1 species
GACGAACGCUGGCGGCGUGCUUAACACAUGCAAGUCGAACGAAGUGGCGAACGGGUGAGUAAUACGUGAGUAACCUGCCCUCCUUUUUAGGAUAAGCCUUGUAAACGGGGUCUAAUACCGAAUAAAUGGGGAUGGUCUCGCGGGCUAUCAGCUUGUUGGUGGGGUGAUGGCCUCCACAGGCGGUAACGGGUAGCCGGCAGUAGAGGGUGACGGGCCACAUUGGGAAUGAGAUACGGCCCAGACGCCUACGGGAGGCAGCAGUGGGGGAUAUUGCACAAUGGGCGAAAGCCGGAUGCAGCGACGCAGCGUGGGGGAUGAAGGCUUGUGGGUGGUAAACAGCUUUCGCUAGCGAACGGGUAGGUGGAGAAGAAGCGCCGGCUAACUACGUGCCAGCCGCCGCGGUAAUAC